CCGAGGCAAGGGAAGCCAUGUCUUUGUAGAAAAAGAGCGCCACCGAGUUCUUCGAGAGGUGGGCAACACAAAUUUUCACGGUUCAGUGAAAAUGUAGCUUGAUCGAUUUCUCGGGUUUGUUCUAGCAUCGUAUUCAGAAGUCUUGAUAGCUUAACUUUUGAUUCGAAGUAAAUUAUCCAAGCACUUCGGAAAUAAAAAUAACUUAAGUAGUGAAUUUUAUUUCUUUUUAAGCUUAGCCAAACAAAAUUAUAUGACCUUUUGAUGUUGGCAUUAGUCUUGGGUGAUACCGCUGGUGGAAUAUUUUCUUGAUACUGAAGCUCAGGAGAUUGCAUUUGAAAUUGCAUGAUUAAGGCCUCGGUUAGUGCUUUUUUUGUACGCCAUGUGAUUGUACUUUGCAUAGUUGCUUUUAUCAGGCUUAUUGUUAUUCAAUUGGACUGAACUGCGCUUUUAGUAUGAUGACCGGCCAUAACUUUUGGACUCGGAUACAGAAAUUAGACAUUAUAGUUCUAUUGAAGUUUGAAGACAUAUAACUGAAAUUAGGCAUGACAAAAUACUCGGUAAUACAUCUCCAAGAAAUAACAUAUAUGUCUACUGAUAAAUAAAAACAGAAUUUGUGGUAUUAUUAUUAGGGGCUUGUCAUGCCCGUCUGCAAAAGAUUGGAUGCUUAUUUAGUAUUGUGUUACGUUGUGUCAGGCACAUAUAUGGUGUGCUAAAUAAAGUGUCAGAGUACCGAAAGAAUGAAUUCCUUUGGGAAGAUUGUGAGAUGUGAUGUUGUAGUGGUGACAAUCUGUGCUGUGCUGUAGGGUCAUGUAACUUGUUUUAAGGUGAGUUGUUUCUACGUUACAUUCACAAUAAGAAGCCCAUUAUUAGCUGAAAAGGAUUAAAGGAGCCAAUAUAUAGGCUAUGUGUAAUUUUUAAGACACUCGAUCUUAACAAGAACCUAGUUUGGUUAUUUUUCUGACACCUGUUCUCCUCUCUCCCUCAAGCUUAAGGUAGCUGAUGGACAUGUUUUUAAAUAUCAGCAUGUGCAUAUUGAUGUCACCUUUUAAGACUCGAAUCUUGUGUACUUGGACCAAUUUUCAACGUGUUCAAGGAAAUUCACCUUGAUGAAGCUUAGCACUAGAAUGAUCAUGAAGGAUGAAUGGAAUCUAGAAGGGUAAGUAGGCUUUAAGAAAUCCAUACCUAUAUGUAAAGAAUCUUAAGAAUCUGGCCACCAAAAAAAUGAAUCUUUUAAGAAUCCAAUGAAUGUCCACAGGAAGUAAACGAGAUAUUUUUUUUUGAGAUGCUGAGGUUCACACACGAGAUAGAGUUGAAGAAAUCCCUCCUGAGGUAAAUAGCUUGAAGGUGUUGAGUAUAGUUUCAGAAAACCCUAAAAGACUAAAUAUUCAAACACCUCGCGAUGUAGCUCGAGAAAUCUAAUUGGCUAAGAAGUGGAUGCUUUAAAAAGAACUGAAGGAUCAACUUUCUGUAGCUAUAUAGAAACGAGGAACCCAAGUCGCAUUUUCUCUAAAUUACUUGUUACAAGAUGGAGACCUAAAAGAUUCACUUCAUUUCUUGUCCACUCUGCCACCUGUGAACCCUCUUAAUCAAGUGUAAAGGAAAUGGAGGUGAGUUAAGGAGAGGAGAUUUUCAUAGGCCUAGUUAUGCUAUACUAAGAAGGUGCAAUAAAGUUCUAAACUUCGAUUUUAAUGCACAUUCUCUUGAUUUUAUUUUAUUUUUUUAAAAAAAAUGAUGUUUUGUUAUUUGAAUCUAAAAUGUCCAUCCAAUUGUUAUGAGGCAGAGAAAUUUGUUCUCCGCAGAAGCCUAUGAUAAAAUGCAAGCAGAGCUCAGAAACGCGCGGAAGAACUUGAUGAAACUUUUGACGUUGGAUAGUGUCAAGAGUACUGUACACGACUUCUAUUGUCUCGUUACUUCAUAGUUUGUGUAAUGUUUCCUGAUUUUUUCCAAACAAUUUGAAUAUUAUGAAGCUAUUUUGUCUCCUAUAUUGGCAUAUUCACUCCAUGCAAUACAUUAGUAAUGUUUAUAAUUCACCAAUCUAAUGAAUUUAGCUAAUGUGGUUUUCUAAUUGAAUUGUCUGAAAAUUCAUGUUAUAAUUCCAAUCUUUAUUGGUGUUUAAUGUUUGCGGUGCAGAAACAUGCCGCGGAAUAUAUGGAAAAGCUUCGUAGGGCUAUGUUAAAGUACAUAACUUUUUGAUGCAUGCAAGAAUGUAAUGUCCACUUGGAAAAUAUUGCUAAUUACAUUUUCAUCCUUGUGCCGAGUUAUUGAUAUUUUUGAGGAGUUACCGAAUUGAUUUACCGUCAUAUCAGACAAUUUUGUUAUUUUUCUUUUAUAGUUUAGUGAAAGAGAGAAACACAAGAUGAACUCAUUUCAAUGCAAAACACGUCGUGGUAGCCUAGCAUUGCAAUUAGUUUUUUGCAAGAAUUUUCUUUUGUAGAAAUCAAUGGAAUUGGAAUUUGUUUAGGAAAAUGCUAUUUAGGACGGGAGGAAUUUUACAUUGUUUGGCUGAAGGUUGGAUAGCACCGGUAUUAAGGAAC
rnacentral:lncRNA from 1 species